rnacentral:lncRNA from 1 species
UGCAUUUGCUACAUGCCUCCUUAGUACGGGUUAAUUUGAAGUCAUUGAAUGCUCCAUUUCUAUUCACCUUUGACUCCACAUGAUAAAAGUUGUACUUUGAUGAUUAAAUUAUAUAUUGUUUUCAGUUUUUGGUUUUCAUUUAAUUAGAUAUAUUAUAGCGCAUCACAUGUGGCAUCAGUCUUUUUCCGCACACAUCAGUUUACAAACUAGAAUUAGCUGUGAUCCGCAUCCCCGAAUCUUAGGCAGAAUUGUUCCUGCUACAUUUGGUAGUGCUAUUUAGGUGUGGAAUUCUAAAGCAGCUUUUCUGGUUUGUAACUAAACUAAAUAAUUUAUAAGAAAUGGAGCAGACAUUUGAGUCAAUACUUGUUGUGAUUUGAUAUGACAGUCCAUAGCAGACCAGUUUUGAAUAGUUAUUUCUGGGG